rnacentral:lncRNA from 1 species
UAAUUCUAGGGGAUCCAACACUCUCACACAGAGAUACAAAUAGGCAAAACACUGAUGCACAUAAAAUAAAAGUAAAUCAUUAGAAAAAAGAAAAGAAAAGGUCUCAGAACUUGGGUAGUGGGUAGGGUCAAGCUUCACUCUGACAAGCCCUUCUAGACUGUCAGAUGUGGGAAGUAGUAACUCUAUCUAUGCCAGGGGGAAAGUGGGUUUCUGUAGGAUUAUCUCCUUUCACAUUUGAAUGAAGGAUGAUAAACCACUAUGUGGCCUCUAAGCCACCUCUGGUUCCAUAAUAGCAGCUACUAUUAACCAGCUUCACUUGGCAGCUUAUCCCAUUUUCUUUCUCUUUUCUGGCUUAAACUCUUUUCCUAAACUCUCCAGGAUCAAUAACAAAAAGGGUGGGCCAAGUGUAGUGCACACACUUGUAAUAUCAGUGGUCAGACGAGUAAAGGGAUCAGAAGUUCAUGAGUUGGUUUCCUCAGAGUCUCCUGCUGGGGUAUGAUGGAGAGUAGCAGGAGUUGUCCCAACUCAGCAGGGUCACCUUGGCCCCGACAGUUUCCUGGAUGCAGUGCAUACCCAGGCCACCCGGCAGAAGACCGAGGAUAGGGCUAAGCUCUCAGUAUACUCUGCCCCAUCUUUGAUGAGAAGCCCUUGUCCUGUCUUCCCUGCUCCAGUUUGCCACCCUCCUUCUUAAGUGACCAUCAGCUUAUAACAGCUUUGCUCUGCUGUCCUAGCUCUGGCAGUAUGGGGACCUGAGAAGGACUGGAGACCAGGUGGCUGGAUUUUCUCUCUCUCUCUCUCUCUCUCCUCUCUCUCUCUCUCUCUCUCUCUCUCUCUCUCUCUCUCUCUCUCAACAAGAAAAUAGAAAAUUUAGGUGAAGCCUUGUGUCUUUGGAGACCUGAGUUACUAACCUUCUUCUGCCUGAAUUUAGGUUACAGCAUAAAUAUUUGGCCUUGCUUUUAGAACUUGGGUUUCAAUCCUGCAUAGCUACUUUCUAACAUAUUAGCUUCUCAGUGUCCCUGCUCCCUGUCUGUAAGGUAUAUAUGGAAAAUGGAGCUUCCCACAUCUUGGGGCUGUAGGCAUAUUCAGCAGGAGGUUAGGGAUGGGGCUAGAACCUGGGGUAUAUUUAGGGCGAGUAGCACUUCUACCAGUGUGCUGUGACACUAGUACUUAUUCCUUCGAGUAGCACUGUCGAGAGCUGUAAAGAACUUUUCUCAGCAGGUUGUCAGUGCGAACCUAACCUACUGCCCGAGAGUAGUAGUUGGAAUUAUAUGGUAACUAUUCGUUUUACAAGUUAAGGCCAAUUAUCUCAGCUGAUUCCAUUUCCUUGCUAUUGUAAAAAGGACAGGGAUAAAUAUAAGCAUGCAGGUAUCUGUAGUAGAAGACACUCUGUGCACCUCCCUGAGAGUGGUAAGCUGGAGCAUAGCAAGUUCUGCCCUAGUUCUCUGAGGAGCUUCCACAUUCCUUUCUGUAGUGGCCGCACUCACUCCCCCCAGCACUGGGUUGCUCUCUCCCCAUAUCCUCACCAGUAUUCAUUGUCAUUUUCUUGAUUACCAUUCUCACUAGAGUAACAUGGAGUCACAGAAUAGUUUGGUACACAUAUACAAAUAGAAUUUUAUUGAGC